AGCGAACGCUGGCGGCAGGCCUAACACAUGCAAGUCGAACGGGCUCUUCGGAGCUAGUGGCGGACGGGUGAGUAACACGUGGGAACGUGCCUUUAGGUUCGGAAUAAGCCCGGGAAACUGGGUCUAAUACCGAAUGUGCCCUUCGGGGGAAAGAUUUAUCGCCUUUAGAGCGGCCCGCGUCUGAUUAACUUGUUGGUGAGGUAAUGGCUCACCAAGGCGACGAUCAGUAGCUGGUCUGAGAGGAUGACCAGCCACAUUGGGACUGAGACACGGCCCAAACUCCUACGGGAGGCAGCAGUGGGGAAUCUUGCGCAAUGGGCGAAAGCCUGACGCAGCCAUGCCGCGUGGAUGAUGAAGGUCUUAGGAUUGUAAAAUCCUUUCACCGGUGAAGAUAAUGACUGUAGCCGGAGAAGAAGCCCCGGCUAACUUCGUGCCAGCAGCCGCCGCAGUAA
rnacentral:rRNA from 1 species